UCUCCCACAUCUACCACCAUCUCCCACCACCACCACAACCAUCCGCCACCACCUCAUUCUUCACCGAUAACUGAUCUACAAAGAACCACCACCCUAACUUGCCCCUCUCUCCUCAUCAAAACCCACCACAACCGCCAUCAUCUAACUACCACACAUUGCCUGAACCGACACCAUCUCUCUCCCUCUCUCUCGCAUGCAACCAUUACCUUGUUCAUAACUAAGAUCUGUAAAACACCUGUCAUGCAGGUGUCCCUAAAAGUUUCUUUGUUUUCAGACUUCAUCUUAACAACCGUCAGAUCAAAUUGCAGAUUUAGAAACGAGCACUUGAGUGUCAUCAUUGAACCGUGAAGAACGCGCACGAUUUAUGGCAGGGAGAGUAUUGGAGUUAACACUCCGAAUUGAAAAUCAAGAUAUACACAA
rnacentral:lncRNA from 1 species